AUUGAACGCUGGCGGCAUGCCUUACACAUGCAAGUCGAACGGUAACAGGUCUUCGGAUGCUGACGAGUGGCGAACGGGUGAGUAUACAUCGGAACGUGCCUAGUAGUGGGGGAUAACUACUCGAAAGAGUGGCUAAUACCGCAUGAGAUCUACGGAUGAAAGCAGGGGAUCGCAAGACCUUGUGCUACUAGAGCGGCCGAUGGCAGAUUAGGUAGUUGGUGGGAUAGAAGCCUACCUAGCCGACGAUCUGUAGCUGGUCUGAGAGGACGAUCAGCCACACUGGGACUGAGACACGGCCCAGACUCCUACGGGAGGCAGCAGUGGGGAAUUUUGGACAAUGGGCGCAAGCCUGAUCCAGCAAUGCCGCGUGCAGGAUGAAGGCCUUCGGGUUGUAAACUGCUUUUGUACGGAACGAAAAGCCCUGGGUUAAUACCCUGGGGUCAUGACGGUACCGUAAGAAUAAGCACCGGCUAACUACGUGCCAGCCGCCGCCGUAA
rnacentral:rRNA from 1 species